UACGUAGGGGGCAAGCGUUGUCCGGAAUCAUUGGGCGUAAAGAGCGUGUAGGCGGCUUGGUAAGUCCGCUGUGAAAGUCCAGGGCUCAACCCUGGAAAGCCGGUGGAAACUGUCAAGCUUGAGUCCGGAAGAGGCGAGUGGAAUUCCUGGUGUAGCGGUGAAAUGCGCAGAUAUCAGGAGGAACACCAAUGGCGAAGGCAGCUCGCUGGGACGGUACUGACGCUGAGGAGCGAAAGCGUGGGGAGCGAACAGG
rnacentral:rRNA from 1 species